GCCAGGGUAGCUCAGCUGGUUAGAGCGGUCGUUUCAUAAGCGACAGGUCAUGGGUCCGAGUCCCAUCCCUGGCA
rnacentral:tRNA from 1 species